rnacentral:rRNA from 1 species
GGUGGGGGAUGGGCUCGCGGCCUAUCAGCUUGUUGGUGAGGUAAUGGCUCACCAAGGCGUCGACGGGUAGCCGGCCUGAGAGGGUGACCGGCCACACUGGGACUGAGACACGGCCCAGACUCCUACGGGAGGCAGCAGUGGGGAAUAUUGCACAAUGGGCGGAAGCCUGAUGCAGCAACGCCGCGUGAGGGAUGACGGCCUUCGGGUUGUAAACCUCUUUUAGCAGGGAAGAAGCGUGAGUGACGGUACCUGCAGAAAAAGCACCGGCUAACUACGUGCCAGCAGCCGCGGUAAUACGUAGGGUGCAAGCGUUAUCCGGAAUUAUUGGGCGUAAAGAGCUCGUAGGCGGUUUGUCGCGUCUGCUGUGAAAUCCCGAGGCUCAACCUCGGGCCUGCAGUGGGUACGGGCAGACUAGAGUGCGGUAGGGGAGAUUGGAAUUCCUGGUGUAGCGGUGGAAUGCGCAGAUAUCAGGAGGAACACCGAUGGCGAAGGCAGAUCUCUGGGCCGUAACUGACGCUGAGGAGCGAAAGGGUGGGGAGCAAACAGGCUUAGAUACCCUGGUAGUCCACCCCGUAAACGUUGGGAACUAGUUGUGGGGUCCUUUCCACGGAUUCCGUGACGCAGCUAACGC